GUGUCUUUUAUACUGAUAACAAGUUCAAACAGGUGCCAUUAAUACAGGUAAUGAAUGAGUGGAGGACAGAGGAGCCUCUUAAAGAAAAAGUUACAGGUCUGUGAGAGCUAGAAAUCUUUCUUGUUUGUAGGUGACCAAAUACUUAUUUUCCACCAUAAUUUGCAAAUAAAUUCAUUAAAAAUCCUACAAUGUGAUUUUCUGGAUUUUUUCUCAUUUUGUCUGUCAUAGUUGAAGUGUACCUAUGAUGAAAAUGACAGGCCUCUCUCAUCUUUUUAAGUGGGAGAACUUGCACAAUUGGUGGCUGACUAAAUACUUUUUUUGCCCCACUGUAUUGUCUACUGCAUUUAGAGAACAAAGCAAUAUGGAUUAAUUUAGUUGGGAUUCGUUGUAAUAACGAUUUAAUCCAGAAGUAUGGUUUUUUUUGUCUGAAGGAAGAAACACUUAAUAAAAUAAUCACCAUAGUUACCGUUGGACUAAUUAAUUUGGAUUCUACUGGAUGGCCUAAAGAGUAAUAAAGUAAUGACUGAACUAAAUGAAUAUGCUAAACUGGUCCCCCAGUGUGUCGACUCAGUUUCCUGCUCUGUGGAUUCAGACCUCUCCUUUUGUCCUCUGCUCUCUGAGCCACACAUUUAGAAGAAGACAUUGUUUUGUAAGCACGACUAACGGCAGUCGCUGUCAAAAAAACACCUUCCACGUGAUCACCUUAUCUCAGCUGUCAUUCGUUGGCCGAAGCACACGCUUUUGAACAACGUCACAACUGCAGCCAAUCGCAGGAAACAAGGAAAUGUUUCUUUCGCGCUCUGUCCCGAACAUGAGCAAUGCAACAUUCUGCCCGUUGAUGCA
ensembl:lncRNA